UACGGAGGGAGCUAGCGUUGUUCGGAAUUACUGGGCGUAAAGCGCGCGUAGGCGGCUUUGUAAGUUAGAGGUGAAAGCCCGGAGCUCAACUCCGGAACUGCCUUUAAAACUGCAUCGCUUGAAUCCAGGAGAGGUGAGUGGAAUUCCGAGUGUAGAGGUGAAAUUCGUAGAUAUCAGGAGGAAUACCGGUGGCGAAGGCGGCCUUCUGGACCGUUCCUGACACUGAGACGCGAAAGCGUGGGGAUCAAACAGG
rnacentral:rRNA from 1 species